AACAACUUAUACAUACACACACCAGUUCUCGUCCGAUCACUGAAGUUAAGCAACGUUGGACAGUACUUAGAUGGAUGACCGCUUGGGAAAGCCAUGUACUGUUGGCA
rfam:Camponotus floridanus CamFlo_1.0_4.contig793, whole genome shotgun sequence.